rnacentral:rRNA from 1 species
UACGAGGGGGGCGAGCGUUGUUCGGAAUUAUUGGGCGUAAAGGGUGCGUAGGCGGUUUGGUAAGUCUUAUGUGAAAUCUAUGGGCUCAACUCAUAGUCUGCAUGAGAAACUGCCGGGCUUGAGUAUGGGAGAGGUGAGUGGAAUUCCCGGUGUAGCGGUGAAAUGCGCAGAUAUCGGGAAGAACACCCGUGGCGAAGGCGGCUCUCUGGGACAGUACUGACGCUGAGACGCGAAAGCGUGGGGAGCGAACAGG